rnacentral:rRNA from 1 species
GGUUAAGCGACUAAGCGUACACGGUGGAUGCCCUGGCAGUCAGAGGCGAUGAAGGACGUGCUAAUCUGCGAUAAGCGUCGGUGAGGUGAUAUGAACCGUUAUAACCGGCGAUUUCCGAAUGGGGAAACCCAGUGUGUUUCGACACACUAUCAUUAACUGAAUCCAUAGGUUAAUGAGGCGAACCGGGGGAACUGAAACAUCUAAGUACCCCGAGGAAAAGAAAUCAACCGAGAUUCCCCCAGUAGCGGCGAGCGAACGGGGAGGAGCCCAGAGCCUGAAUCAGUGUGUGUGUUAGUGGAAGCGUCUGGAAAGGCGUGCGAUACAGGGUGACAGCCCCGUACACAAAAAUGCACAUAUUGUGAGCUCGAUGAGUAGGGCGGGACACGUGGUAUCCUGUCUGAAUAUGGGGGGACCAUCCUCCAAGGCUAAAUACUCCUGACUGACCGAUAGUGAACCAGUACCGUGAGGGAAAGGCGAAAAGAACCCCGGCGAGGGGAGUGAAAAAGAACCUGAAACCGUGUACGUACAAGCAGUGGGAGCCUCUUAAUGGGGUGACUGCGUACCUUUUGUAUAAUGGGUCAGCGACUUAUAUUCUGUAGCAAGGUUAACCGAAUAGGGGAGCCGAAGGGAAACCGAGUCUUAACUGGGCGUUAAGUUGCAGGGUAUAGACCCGAAACCCGGUGAUCUAGCCAUGGGCAGGUUGAAGGUUGGGUAACACUAACUGGAGGACCGAACCGACUAAUGUUGAAAAAUUAGCGGAUGACUUGUGGCUGGGGGUGAAAGGCCAAUCAAACCGGGAGAUAGCUGGUUCUCCCCGAAAGCUAUUUAGGUAGCGCCUCGUGAAUUCAUCUCCGGGGGUAGAGCACUGUUUCGGCAAGGGGGUCAUCCCGACUUACCAACCCGAUGCAAACUGCGAAUACCGGAGAAUGUUAUCACGGGAGACACACGGCGGGUGCUAACGUCCGUCGUGAAGAGGGAAACAACCCAGACCGCCAGCUAAGGUCCCAAAGUCAUGGUUAAGUGGGAAACGAUGUGGGAAGGCCCAGACAGCCAGGAUGUUGGCUUAGAAGCAGCCAUCAUUUAAAGAAAGCGUAAUAGCUCACUGGUCGAGUCGGCCUGCGCGGAAGAUGUAACGGGGCUAAACCAUGCACCGAAGCUGCGGCAGCGACACUAUGUGUUGUUGGGUAGGGGAGCGUUCUGUAAGCCUGUGAAGGUGGCCUGUGAGGGUUGCUGGAGGUAUCAGAAGUGCGAAUGCUGACAUAAGUAACGAUAAAGCGGGUGAAAAGCCCGCUCGCCGGAAGACCAAGGGUUCCUGUCCAACGUUAAUCGGGGCAGGGUGAGUCGACCCCUAAGGCGAGGCCGAAAGGCGUAGUCGAUGGGAAACAGGUUAAUAUUCCUGUACUUGGUGUUACUGCGAAGGGGGGACGGAGAAGGCUAUGUUGGCCGGGCGACGGUUGUCCCGGUUUAAGCGUGUAGGCUGGUUUUCCAGGCAAAUCCGGAAAACCAAGGCUGAGGCGUGAUGACGAGGCACUACGGUGCUGAAGCGACAAAUGCCCUGCUUCCAGGAAAAGCCUCUAAGCAUCAGGUAACAUCAAAUCGUACCCAAAACCGACACAGGUGGUCAGGUAGAGAAUACCAAGGCGCUUGAGAGAACUCGGGUGAAGGAACUAGGCAAAAUGGUGCCGUAACUUCGGGAGAAGGCACGCUGAUAUGUAGGUGAAGCGACUUGCUCGUGGAGCUGAAAUCAGUCGAAGAUACCAGCUGGCUGCAACUGUUUAUUAAAAACACAGCACUGUGCAAACACGAAA